AGUGAACGCUGGCGGUAGGCCUAACACAUGCAAGUCGAACGGCAGCACAGGAGAGCUUGCUCUCUGGGUGGCGAGUGGCGGACGGGUGAGGAAUACAUCGGAAUCUACCUUUUCGUGGGGGAUAACGUAGGGAAACUUACGCUAAUACCGCAUACGACCUUCGGGUGAAAGCAGGGGACCUUCGGGCCUUGCGCGGAUAGAUGAGCCGAUGUCGGAUUAGCUAGUUGGCGAGGUAAAGGCCCACCAAGGCGACGAUCCGUAGCUGGUCUGAGAGGAUGAUCAGCCACACUGGAACUGAGACACGGUCCAGACUCCUACGGGAGGCAGCAGUGGGGAAUAUUGGACAAUGGGCGCAAGCCUGAUCCAGCCAUACCGCGUGGGUGAAGAAGGCCUUCGGGUUGUAAAGCCCUUUUGUUGGGAAAGAAAAGCAGUCGGUUAAUACCCGGUUGUUCUGACGGUACCCAAAGAAUAAACACCGGCUAACUUCGU
rnacentral:rRNA from 1 species